rnacentral:rRNA from 1 species
UACGGAGGAUGCGAGCGUUAUCCGGAUUUAUUGGGUUUAAAGGGUGCGUAGGCGGGCUGUUAAGUCAGCGGUCAAAUGUCGGGGCUCAACCCCGGCCAGCCGUUGAAACUGGUGGCCUCGAGUGGGCGAGAAGUAUGCGGAAUGCGUGGUGUAGCGGUGAAAUGCAUAGAUAUCACGCAGAACUCCGAUUGCGAAGGCAGCAUACCGGCGCCCGACUGACGCUGAGGCACGAAAGCGUGGGUAUCGAACAGG